AUUGAACGCUGGCGGAAUGCUUUACACAUGCAAGUCGAACGGCAGCACGGACUUCGGUCUGGUGGCGAGUGGCGAACGGGCGAGUAAUAUAUCGGAACGUAUCCAAUAAUGGGGGAUAACUAGUCGAAAGAUUGGCUAAUACCGCAUACGCCCUACGGGGGAAAGCAGGGGAUCUUCGGACCUUGCGUUAAUGGAGCGGCCGAUAUCUGAUUAGCUAGUUGGUGGGGUAAAGGCCCACCAAGGCGACGAUCAGUAGCUGGUCUGAGAGGACGACCAGCCACACUGGAACUGAGACACGGUCCAGACUCCUACGGGAGGCAGCAGUGGGGAAUUUUGGACAAUGGGCGCAAGCCUGAUCCAGCCAUUCCGCGUGAGUGAAGAAGGCCUUCGGGUUGUAAAGCUCUUUCGCAAGGGAAGAAAACUUAGCCACUAACAUUGGCUGAGGUUGACGGUACCUUGAUAAGAAGCACCGGCUAACUACGUGCCAGCCGCCGCUGUAAGAC
rnacentral:rRNA from 1 species